UGUAUUUGCUAAACCAAAUUAAUGUUUCAUUUAAAAGAAGUUGAGCUUUAGCCUAUUUUUCAUGAAACAUGUAGGUCCCCACAUGAGGCUUGUUUAGCAUGUCAUCUGUGUGACUGGCAUAAGCUCAUAGUCUCUCCACUGAGGAAAGCUGGGAGAAGUAGUCCCAGCACUUAAUGGUGCCCCUGAGCUAAUCCUGCUGGCUCCAUGGUAAACAUGGGCCUUUUAAUAGACUGGAGACAAAGUGACAUUCGGAAGAAACAACAUGUCGACAAUUUCCUUAAUAAAUUUUGUACGAACACAUUAUUUCCACCUAAUGGAAAUGUAGCUCUCUUAAAUAAUUGAGAGGCUGUAUUCAUCAGUGGUGAGUUCAGCUGGGAUCUUUGUGAGCUAGGGCAGCCAACAACCCCUUGGAAAACAGGGUAAUUGAUAUUUUACAUAAGUGGCUUGACUAGUUUUCAGGUGGGCUCUGUGUGACAUUCCCCUGCAGUCCCCAUGCACAGCUCUCUUCUGUUGUCCAGGCUGUCACAAAGCAGCUCCACACUGAAGGUUCCAGUUGCAGCCACCGAACUGCCAAGACUAAGGGUAGUUCCUGAAAUGACUGAGCUGUUGAAGAAAAAAUGAGUCGUGAUCAUGUCUUAAGAAAGGAAAUUAUGUCAAAGUAUUCAGCUGAAAUCAUAGAAAUUCAUGGCUAUUAAUCAUUAGAAAGCAUGGAGAGCUACAUUUCAUAAUAUGAGGAAAAAUUCUAACAGAUGCCAGAAUGCUUUUUUAUGGGGAUAUUAUUAUGUUUCUUUCUAAUAAUUUGUGGUUCCAAACAAUUAUUUUUUGAAAUUUUCUAAUUCUGUAAUAAAAUAUAUAAUAAAGCCUU